rnacentral:rRNA from 1 species
ACGUAGGGUGCGAGCGUUAAUCGGAAUUACUGGGCGUAAAGCGUGCGCAGGCGGUUUUGUAAGACAGGCGUGAAAUCCCCGGGCUUAACCUGGGAACUGCGUUUGUGACUGCAAGGCUAGAGUACGGCAGAGGGGGGUGGAAUUCCACGUGUAGCAGUGAAAUGCGUAGAGAUGUGGAGGAACACCAAUGGCGAAGGCAGCCCCCUGGGUCGAUACUGACGCUCAUGCACGAAAGCGUGGGUAGCAAACAGGAUUAGAUACCCUGGUAGUCCACGCCCUAAACUAUGUCAACUAGGUGUUGGGUGGGUAAAACCAUUUAGUACCGUAGCUAACGCGUGAAGUUGACCGCCUGGGGAGUACGGCCGCAAGGUUA